UUUACAGUAGCUGAGGCUUUUUACAGCUUAGUUAAGGCUUAAUUUUAUUUUUAUUUUUAACUCUAAAA
rnacentral:tRNA from 1 species